rnacentral:misc_RNA from 1 species
AACCAUUCUCACCUGCGGCUAGACCUGCGGAGGGAUCAUUACCUAGAGUUGUAGGCUUUGCCUGCUAUCUCUUACCCAUGUCUUUUGAGUACCUUACGUUUCCUCGGCGGGUUCGCCCGCCGGUUGGACAAAACUUAAACCCUUUGUAGUUGCAAUCAGCGUCUGAAAAAACUUAAUAGUUACAACUUUUAGCAACGGAUCU